GAAAAAACUGGGAUAAAGUUGAGCCAAAAGAUCUCGAUUCAAGAUAAAUUCAUGAGGAAGCAGUAUCUCUUUAGGAUCUACUCCAGCAUUUAGAAAUUGGUUAAUCAGUAAAGAUACGUGUACUUGAUGCCCCGCCCAAGAGAGAGACCCAAGUCCUAGUAGCACUACCAAAUGUUGAUUCAACAUAGAUUCUACAUCUUGAAACCAAUCCAAUUUUGGCACUGCUUUAUGAUAAUGAAACCAACCAGCAAAAAGCAUUAACGCUGCAAAGACCAAUGUCCUAAUUGCUAUACAAUAGAGUUGUAAUUCAUUAGUUAUUCCAGAUGCUCUCCAAAUCUGAAAAAAACCAGAGGUUAUUUGUAUUCCUCGAAAACCCCCACUUACAUCAUCAUUUAAUAUUUCUUGGCCCACUAUUUGCCAAACCACCAGGGCACUAGGCCCAAUGUGAGUUGGAUCACUUAGCCACGCUUCAUAAUUAGGAAAACGAGCACCGUGGAAAUACAUGCCGCUCAGCCCAAGAAAGAUAAUGGAGAGUUGACCGAAACAUGCACUAAAUACUCUUUGAGAGAUCUCGUCUAAUUCACUGGUAUGGCUAUUAAAAUCUUGAGCAUCAGCAUGUAGGUUCCAUAUCCAAGUGGUAGUAUCAGGCCCUUUAGCUAUUGUUCUUGAGAAAUGACCUGCUCUGGCCCAUUCCUCAAAAGAACUUUUUACAGGACCCCUAUCUACCAAAAUUUUAACUUCUGGUUUCGGCGAACGAAUAAUCAUUGAGUCCUUCUCUUUCCGGACAACACUUACAAAGAGACCCGCCAACAAUCAAAUAAUUAGUGAACCUUAGAGAUAGAGAGAUAUUUCUAUAAUUAGUUCGUUUCUCUUCUAUUUUUCUAUCUCCCAUCUAUCUAUUUUCUUUAGUUAUUUACUAGAGCAAUUAUGAUCUAGAAGUCGAUCCGGGGCAAGUGUUCAGAUCUAUUAUGACAUAGCCUUGAGGCGCUCAACGGACCCUUUAACCUUUUAAAAACCUUUUUGGGCUUUGGAUUGAUCCAAAAACGACUUUUUUGUGCAACCUAGUGUAUAUUCAUAGAAGUUAUUAGAUGGAGCUCUUUAAUUUUUUACCUAGAAGAUUGUAAUUACUCUAUUCCAAAUCACGCUAGUAGCCAUUAGACAUUACUAAGAGACAUCCCCGAUAUAUAUAUAUUUAGUGAUUCAAGGGUUUCUUUUAUUAGUUUUAAUACUAAUAACUAAUAAGAAUUUUGUUUGAUUGAAUUUUUUCAUUUUAUUAUUUUUUAAUAUUUAAUAUAAAUAAAUAAUUUUAAUAUUUAAUAUAUUAAUAAAAAUAAAUAAUAAAUAAAUAGAAUAAAUAAAAGUCUAUUAUGUCCUAUAUCUAUCUCUUUUAUUCCUAAAAAAUAACAGAUGAAUAUAGAAGUGAAAUAGAAGGCUUAGAAGGGAGAUAAUGAAAUUAUGUGAUUGGGUCUUCCAAAAGCAAAGGAAUGAUCCGUUUUUUAGUUAACUGAUCUGAUGGGUCCAACAAACAAUUAAUUAUAACAAAUAUCUAAAUUCUAAAUAAAGGAUAAUAAAUAAACGGGGUCGUCUUUUAUUCGAAACGUCUCGUGAUCUUUAACCAAUUAUUAAACCAAGCCUCUGCAAUUUCAGAAUCUACAUGUUGAAUGGCCUGUUCACCCCAGCCGGAAUAGGUAGUUCAAUUCCUUCCCUUAGAACCGUACUUGAGAAUUUCUUACCUCAUACGGCUCAACAGUCAAUUCUUUUGGUGUCCCAUUUUGAUCUAUACCAUAUCUAUCUAAUGAGAUUUCUCAUGGAUCUAUCCCAGUUUUAGGGUUAACCAAAAGAAAAAUAGGUUAAUUACAUGAGUUUCAAACUGAAAUUUGGAUGAAUAAUUUGUUUAUUUAGUUUUAUUUUUUUUCCCACCUUCAGAAAAAUAAAGCAUAAGUAUUUCUACUACUGGUAGAAUUUUCUGAAAGGUAACUAUCUCGGUUUCAUAGAUAAAUUUAUAUAGAAUCUUUGAAAAAGACUUUCUUUCAUAAGAAAGAAAAUACUAUCUUUGGGAUCUGAUUCUACACCGCUACUCAAGACUUUAGUAGAUCGACUCUAUUACAUAAGUUAAUUCCUAAUUCUUAUCUCACAUUAUGAGAUAAGUACGCAGUUAUUGUUGUAUCGGUCCAAAAGCUCGCUAAUUGAUCUUUACGGUGCUUCCUCUCUCUCUAUCAAUUAAAGCCUUUUAUCCAUACGAAGAGCUAAGCCACUAAUGUCGUGGCGAAGGUUAGACCUCAUAAAGUCAGCGAAGCUAAGGUUUCGUAUGUGUGAUAGAGAAAGGAAAAGCGACCCCGUGCCCUACUACAAUUCUUAUUCAAUAGUUUAAUAUUACUACAAUGUCGUGCCGAUGUCUCCCUUACGAAAUUGAAGAUAAGUCUUUUGAUUAGGGGGGGUGACAACCGAGGCUUUUAAGAGAAGUUGCCAUAUAGGUUAUAAAGAGCUAUCUCAUAUCUAAUAGGAAUAAUCCAAUUCUUAUGUCUACUGUGGGAAAUGGGGUCCCAAGACCAUCUCUUCGACGACGUAGACAAAGGGUUCCCAUCAUGUUCGAUCUGAGAAGAGAGAUGGAGAAGAAGAUGUCCUCCUCAAGGGGUCGACGCCCUCGCUCAGAACUAAAGGAUAGUGGAGAUAGUCGCACGUAAUGACAGAUCACGACCAUAUUAUUAAAAGCUUGUGGUAAGAAUGGGUUUCGUUCUAGUGCUCAAAAAUAAUAUUCCAAAGCUUUCGUAUGUUCUCCAUUUCUUGUGUGGAUAAGCCCUAUAGUAUAGAUUAUAUAACUUCAAUCAUAGGGAUCAAUUUCUAGUCGCAUAGCUUCAUAAUAAUUCUGUAAAACAUUUGUGUAAUUUCCUUUGGAUUGAGCCGACAUCUGUUACGAUCAUCAUUCAAUUGAAAGAAUCUCCGUUCCAGAACCGUACGUGAGAAUUUCACCUCAUACGACUCCUCCCUUAUGUGCAUAAUGAGAAUAAUACAUAGAAUCAAAAAAAAGAUUUAAUGAUGAAAAUAUUCUCACUAUGAACUCAACAAGGCUAGUGUUUUUACAAGAAAUCUCUAGCCAACCUUCCUGCAAGAGAUUUUUUCUUAACAUCAAGCCUAUUGGGACUAGAUAGAAAUGAUAAGAUAACUCCAAAAAUUUCUUUGUUUUUAAUGCCUCCUAAUUUACAGGAAUUAGUUACUUCAAUAGCCUUCAAUGGUUAUACGAGUAUCCAAAGGAUGAACGAGAUGGAUAUUUGUCGUCCCAACCAUUUUUUUGGUCCCAAGCCCGCUAAGGGAAGGGAUGACUUAGAACAAAGUUUUCUUGUUGUCGAUUGCUAGGUGUAGCGCUUCUUCCCCUAUGCUUCCUAUUAGCGCUAGUAGAGUAGGAUUGACCCAUAAUAUAGAACCUCUAGGCAUAACCUUUCGCUUAAUACUAGAAUCGAGAAUUGAAACAUAACAUCUGAGGUUGCAUUAAUAGAGGAUACACGACAGAAGGAAUUAUUUGAUUUCCUAACUUCACCUUCAAAAAGAGUAGAUUUUUUUUUCAAAAAUUUUCUCGAAUCACGUGUUUUUCUCCACUUAAGACAUAGAGAAAUGAAUAAAUAUGAAAUAAAAAAAAGAAUCAAAUUGUACCAUCUCUGUAAUAGGUAAGUGCCUCUUUUUCUCCUGAAGUUGUUGGAAUUACUGGUAAUAAGAUAUUGGCUACAAUUGAAAAGGUCUUAUCAAUAAAAUUUCCAUUUAUACGUGAUCUAGGCAUAGGUAGCAAUCCAUUCUAGAAUUCUUCUCAUUACCUCUCGUGGGAAAAAGAUCCCACAAAGAAAAGAAUUGUAUAGUACGAAAUAACAUAAAACCUUAUUUUUUUUUAAGAAAAAAACAAAAGAUAUGAAUCCUCUAUUCCAAUUGUUCCUUUUUGACAGGAGUCGCUAAGAAAUAAGAAAUAUUUCAACGCGAUUCGAUUUCAUACUAAUGUAGUAGUAUAGGAUGUAGUAGUAUAGGAACUAUUCCGAUUUCGGUGAAGUUACAAAUUAGAAGAACUCGAGAAAUUUUGAUUGAAUCAUGAUACAAAUUACAAAGAAGAAAAAAGAUCGAAUAAUCAUUCUAUGAUGAAAAUAGAAUAACUGACAAUUUUGUGUACAUAACGGGUAUACACUAUACAAUCAAAUCUAAAUUUUUUUAUGAAUUUCUAUUCUAAUAGAGGGGUAGGUAUUUGUUGUUGAGAACUCCAAAACCGAAAAGGAAUUUGAAAAAUUUUCUGGUAUGGAAUCAUAGUCUAUAUCUAUAUAAUUAGAAUUAUGAUUUAAGAGUAUCCAUUAACUAUAGUCUAAAAGUAUAGACCAUCAAUCAGUUGAUUCGUUCUAAUUCAUUGAAUUAAUCCGUUAUAAAAAUAUCAGAAAAAAAGGGAAUGUUGCUUUUACAAACAUGAAUUAAAUUUUUUUAACAAUUUUUACGAAAAAAUCUAUCUUUAUCCCGGAGCCUCGAAGGAAAGAAAAAUCGUUCUUUCCUUUGAGUUUGACGAAAAAUUUUCAAUUAAAGUUAAAAUGGAUUGGUCGUACCUAGUCCAAUAAUGGAAUAUGGGUUAUGACUGACUCGCUAUUCACUCGGUUUUGGGGUCAUAAUCAUUAUGUAGGAGAGAUGGCCGAGUGGUUCAAGGCGUAGCAUUGGAACUGCUAUGUAGGCUUUUGUUUACCGAGGGUUCGAAUCCCUCUCUUUCUGUACCUUCAUUUAAUUCACCAAUUUUACUAACAACAAGGGCUCAAAUAGCAAUGGAUACCAUUAUUCCAACAGGUAGACCCUUCUUUGAUCUAAAGAUAUAGAUUUUCAAUUCCUAUAUUGCUUUGACGCGUAAAAUAGAAUACUAAAAAAUAAUCAUAAACAAAAUACUGGAAAGAAAAGAGUAGAAAAGGAAUGAAAAUAAGAAAUGAAAAUAGAUCCUUGGUCUAUGAUACAAAAAUGGGGGAAAUCCAGAUCAAACUCGGAUUUAUCUUACUUAACCUUGGGUUAAUUUACUUCGCCUAAAGGGAAGAAAAUUUUACGAACCCUUGGUUUUAGUCUGAGGUUUAAGUCUGACGAGAAUAAUAUUCUACGACUAGCAAUUCAUUUAUUUUCAAACCGACCCAUUUACUAUCUAUUAUUUGAUUGACUAAUCCUUUAUAUUGGAAUGGGUGAAGGGUCAAAUGAUUUGGUAAUUCCUCAUGAGGGGAUGAAUCUAGAGAAAUUUGAAUCAGAGCUCUGGAUUUUUGUUCAUCCUUUGCCGUAAUACUAUCUUGGGGUUUGCAGCGAUAACUCGGUAUAUCUACUAUACGACCAUUAACUAAAAUAUGUCGAUGGUUAACUAAUUGACGGGCUGCGGGAAUAGUUGAAGCCAUACCCAAUCGAAAAAGGAUGUUAUCCAAGCGCAUUUCAAGUAAUUGUACUAAAACUUGACCUGUUGACCCCUUAGCUUUUCUGGCGAUACAAACGUAUUUAAGUAAUUGUCGUUCUGUAAGACCAUAAUGAAAACGCUAUUUUUGUUUUUCUUCUAGACGAAUACUAUAUUGAGAUUUUUUUUCCAGAACGCGAUUGGUUUCUAAGAUCAUUUCCAGUCUUAGGCUUUUUAUUAGUUAGUCCUGGUAAAGCCCCCAGGAGUCGUAUUUUUUUUGAAAAGAGGUCCUCGGUAACGCGACAUAAAGACUCCUUAUUCUCAUUUUUGUUAUUUAGUAUUUCAAAUUAAUUCUUAUUUCUAUUUAUUUUUUAUUGAAUUUUAUUUAACAGAAUAAACCUAAACUAAAACUAAACUGAACUAAAUGAAGUGUAGUUUACUGAAAUAGUGUACUUGUACUAUUACUAUUUAAUAUAAAUACUAUAAAGAAAAGAAGAAUGGGGUGAAUUGGAUAAAUAUACAGAACCCCUUCUAUUAUAUAUAUAAUCCUUUCCUGACAUAAUUGGAAGUUCCUAUAAUAAAUUGAUAGCUUUUGGAAAAGGAGGAAGGCGCUAUUUCCCUAUUCUUUUUUUUCCAUUUUUUAGAUGAUUGAUAAUGUUUCUUUGAAAUCAAAGAAUAGGGAAAAGCCGGCUAUCGGAAUCGAACCGAUGACCAUCGCAUUACAAAUGCGAUGCUCUAACCUCUGAGCUAAGCGGGCCCACAUCACAGAAAUCUUAUAUGCAUAGUAAUUGCCUAAACUACUGGAAUUGGAAUUAUUAACUAUUCAAUAUUAUAUUGAAUAUUCUAGAUUCUAGAGCAUAAGGAUUACUAUAGCGAUCUAGAAUUUCGAUUUAUCACAAUUCUAAUAACAAUUCUAAUACUAAUAUCAUUAAAUAGUGAUUGCAAAUAUUGUUAAUAUUCUUUUUAUUUUCAUUUUCAAUUUGAAUGGUAAAUAUUCUUUUUCAUUUCUUUUUUUGGCAUUUGAAAUCUUUUUUAUUACAGUUCUAUAUUUGAUUCUAUAUCAUAUAUAUCUCUCAUUCUAUAUUUAUUUAAAAAUUGUUUAAUGGAAUGGUUAGUUAUAAUUAAUGAGACAUUCCUCCGCUUUCAGGCGAAAGUGAAGAUAAAAAACAAGAAUCGAUCGUUCAAGUAUUCCAAAUUGAAUGGCAAAAUGACAGGAAGAGGGACAUAUAGAUGGGGUAUAGAUCCAUCUAUAUUGAAUUGCGGAUUCCGAAAUGAUAAAAUCAUUUUUGAUUGGAUAAAAAAAGGCCACCUAUAGAAGAUAGUUAAGAAAAUCAAAGAGGAGAAAACACGUUUUCGAGAUAGGAAUCGGUAUCUAAUGAAUUGAAUAGUUCCAGUAUAAAUUAAAGAAAAAUAAAAAGGAAUGACAUCACAACGAGAUCCUAAUCUCAAAACAAAAAGAAAGGGGGGUAUGGCGAAAUCGGUAGACGCUACGGACUUAAUUGGAUUGAGCCUUGGUAUGGAAACUUACUAAGUGAUCACUUUCAAAUUCAGAGAAACCCUGGAAUGAACAAAAAUGGGCAAUACUGAGCCAAAUGCUAUUUUCUGAAAACAAAUAAAGGGUCAGAAAAAAGGAUAGGUGCAGAGACUCAAUGGAAGCUAUUCUAACAAAUGGAGUUAAAUGUGUUGGUAGAGGAAUCUUUACAUCGAAACUUCAGAAAGAAAAAGAAUGAAAUGAAGGAUAAAUGUAUAUACAUACGUAUUGAAUACUAUAUCAAAUGAUUAAUGAUGACCCAAAUCCCUGAUCAAAUCAUUCACUCCAUAGUCUGAUAGAUCUUUUGAAGAACUGAUUAAUAGGAUGAGAAUAAAGAUAGAGUCCCGUUCUACAUGUCAAUACCGGCAACAAAAAAAUUUAUAGUAAGAGGAAAAUCCGUCGACUUUUAAAAUCGUGAGGGUUCAAGUCCCUCUAUCCCCAAAAAGACUAUUUCAACCCCCAACUAUUUCUCCGACCCCCUUUCCUUAGCAGUUCCAAAUUACUUAUCUUUCUCAUUCACUCUAUUCUUUUAGAAAUGGAUUUUUCUUUUAGAAAUGGAUUUUAGCGUAAAUGGCUUUCUCUUAAGCCUUGUGAUAUAUAUGAUACACAUAGAACUGAACAUCUUUGAGCAAGUAAUCCCUAGUUAAAUGAUUACCAAUAUCAUUACUCAAUACUGAAACUUACAAAGUCAUCUUUUUGAAGAUCGAAGAAAUUCCUCGGCUUUGAUAAAAAAUUUUAAUCGAAUUUUGUCGUUUUAAUUGACAAAGACCUAUUGAAAAAAACCCAUUUAUGUGUUAAGAUCAAAUUUGUUAAGAUAAAAUUAGAGUAACAAGCUGAGAACUAAAAAUCCUCAUGUUAAUGAACGGUUCCAAUUGGGAAGACCAGCGGACUCUAAAUCCUCCUGUUAAUGGGGACUGAAAAUUCUCAUGUUUGAGGUUCCAAUUGGGAUUGGUAUAGCCCUGAAAAUCCUUGGGUUACCAGUCCCAACCUUGAUUAAAAAUCUGGAUUGGGAAUAGCCAGGAUAGCUUAGUUGGUAGAGCAGAGGACUAAAAAUUCUCGUGUCACCAGUUCAAAUCUAGUUCCUGGCACAUGAUUAAUUUGUAUAGGUCUCUCUUCACUACAAUUAAUUUCUAAUUAAUUGAUAUGAAUCAACAUACAUAUUCUUUUAGAGUCUAGAUUAGAAUAAUAGCUUUAUCCAGUUUGGCGAGAUAUACCCCAUACUAUGUUCGAUAUGGGUAGAGUUUCUUAGAUAAAGUAUCGAAAAGAAUUGGAUUCCAUCUCCUCUUUUUUUCUAUCUCGUUCAAAUGAAUUUGAAUAUGUAAUACAUAUUCGAAAGGUAUAAUAGGUUAAUUAUUGAAAGGAUCAAAAGUCGAAUCCAGGGAGGUUGAAAUAGACAAGAUUCAGCUCAGAUCCAAAGAAAUAGAAUUCGAUAUUCUAUCAUUUCUUUGUCUUUUCUUUCAUAUUCGAUUUCUUCAUUCUGGAUUUCUCCAUCCCUUCCUAUAUGCCCUUCUAGAACCCGUCUAAGUAAUGCGCGCAGUACAAAGUUCAUGAUGCAGAACUCAUUUGGUUCAUCCUAUUGGUAUGACUCAUCCGAAAUAAGUAUCUUCCAAAUAAAUGUGAGAAUUACAAUGAAUCCCUAAUUGUCUUUUUUUGUUAGCCUAUUGACAAUUCCCUAAAUUAGACCUGCUUAAUCUAGAACAGAACGUGCAAUCCUUGAAUAUCUUAAAUUGUCUAAGUGGAAAUAGCUUUCUCAUCAUUCAAUGAGCAUCUUGUAUUUCAUAAAAAUUAGGGGCAAUAUAAUCCUUACAUAAGGGCUAUUCUAUCCAACUUUCAGGCAUUAAGAUACGUUUCAAGCGUGGAUGAUUAUCAUAAGAGAUUCCCAACAUAUCAUAUGAUUCUCGUUCUUUAAAAUCCACAUUUUUCCAAACCCAAAAAACAGACAGAAUUCUAGGAUUCCUCCUGGAGGCAAAGACUUUUACGCAUACCUCUUCUGGUUGAUCCACACCAUCCUCUAUUCUCGUAAGAUGAUACACAGUAGCUAACAGCCCGCCAGGCACUGCAUCAUAGGCACAUUGAGAGCGGAGAUAAUUGUACCCAUAUACAUAAAAAAAUGAUAGCAAUGGAAUGACAAUCCUCGGGUUUUAUUUGUAAAGUCUCUAUACCUCGGUAAUCAAAGCCCAAAAAUCUAUGAAUUAGCCCAUGCUUGACUAGCCAAGAAGACAAACGACCUUGCAUCUUUUUUAUCUCUCCCACUUUUUUAUUUAUAUAAUUAUUUCACAUUUACGAUUAAAUUUAUGAAAAUUGACCCACCACUUCUGAUUCUGGACAAAGGAAUCCUGUAUAAUUCACUAAUUCGUAGGAAGAUACUGAAUUUUUGUAUUUGGAAAAGAUUUUCGUAGGGACCUCUGAAGUAGAUGGUGGUUAAUAAAGAACUCUUUGAUCAUAAUUUCCCAUAUGAAUACUGCGUCAAACAUGAAACUUGUGAUUGGUAGUAAAAUACCGAUUCACUCGUUGAGACCUAAUUCGAUCUUCAUAGAGUUCUUGAGAUAUUUUCUUACGAAGUUUUGUUAUAGCAUCUAUAAUUGCUUUCGAUUUAGGUGGGCAACCUGGCAAAUAUACAUCUAUAGGAAUUAGCUUAUUGACUCCCCGAACAGUACUAUAAGAAUCGAUUCUGAACAUCCCACCUAUAAUUGUACAGGCUCCUAUAGCAAUAACAUAUUUUGGUUCAGGCAUUUGCUCAUAUAAUCUCACUAAAGAGCAGGCCAUUUUCAUUGUUACUGUUCCAGCCAUUAAAAUUAGAUCCGCUUGUCUAGGACUCGAUCUUGGUACUAGUCCAUAACGAUCAAAGUCGAAGCGUGAGCCUAUUAGUGAAGCAAAUUCAAUGAAGCAACAACUGGUACAAUAGAGAAGCGGCCAUAAACUAGAGUCUUGACCAAUUUUAAAGACCAUUAAUGUAGUUGAAAUAACUGAAUUUGGGGCUGUUCGAUCAAGUAAAGGAAACUGAAUAGAAUUCAUAACUGUCUCAAUCUUAUUUUUUCCGUUUUUCUUUUUAUUGCCUGAAUAUUCAGGAGCUAGACCAUUCCAAUGCCCCCUUUUGCCAUGCAUAAACUAAACCAAUAAUUAAGAUAAUCACGAAAAUCAAAGCUUCUAUAAAUACAGAUAUACCCAAUACGUCGAAACUCAUUGCCCAUGGAUACAGGAAAACCGUUUCAUCAUCAAAAACAACAAAAACUAGAGCAAACAUAUAAUAACAGAUUCAAAAUUAUAACCAAGCAUCACCCAUUGGUUCUAUACCCGACUCACAAGUAGAAAGUUUCUCCGUCCCUUUGCUAAUCGGGGCUAACACUUCGGAAAUGAAAAAUGCCAAAAUAGGAACAAGGAUGGAUAUUAUUAAAAAUGCCUAAAAAAAUUAUAUUCGUAAAGGAGAAACAUAAACGCACUCCUAUGAACGUGGAAAAUAUACCGGAUUGGAUUGUUUGAUUCGAAUUGUAAUUGUCAAGCCAUCCAUGACUAUUUAGUCAAAACAAGAAUUUAUUUUGGUCGAACCGCCUAGUUUGGCUUUGUUUAUUGGUUUAUUAUAGGGCAUAUCUCAUUGCAAGAUUCAUCGAAUGGAAUCCGAUUUUAUUUCCAUUAUACUUAUUUCCAUUUUAUUUAGUUAGUAGAACCUUCUAACUAUAUAUUACUCUGAUACAAAUUCUCCUCUUUCUCUUGUUUUUUUCUCUAAACUAAAGAUGGGGAAUUCUAAAUUAAUUAAUUAUCUUAGUUCUUCUUUAAUUUUUCUUCUUUAAUUAGAAAUUCUUUAAAUAUUUCUAUUUUUUUCUAUAAAUAGAAUAAAUAGAAUCAGGAGGUCUUUAUUUUAAUUUUUUUUCUUAGUGAUUUAGUGAUCUAGAAUGGAACAAGUAAUCAAAUAGAAGAGAAUGUAUAGGAACUUCCAUCUCAAGAUUUAGAAGAUCUUGUGUUGGUAUAUUCCUUUUAUUAUUUUAUUAUUAUUUAAUAAUAGUAUUAGGAUUCGAAUCCAGUUGGAGGGGUUUUUCUUGGUUGGUAGUUGAUACCAGGUUUAUAAUGAGAAUUCAAGCUUGAAACUGAAUACCAAGUUUUAACUAAAAUUUGAACAUGAAAAUGAAUAAGCUUUAAGUAUUGAUAUUACCUUGGGCUGAGUAUGAGUUUGUGGAGAAGAGGUGAGGGUACUUGGUUUGUAUGUGUAAUACCCCGAGAAUCCCAAUCGAUGGUAGAACCAUGAUUCAAGCUUAUGAGAAAUAAAUUAUAGUGAUUUGGUAUUAUUAUGAUCAAUUUUGAUGUAUAUUAAUACUUUAAAUACAUCCUAGCUAUUGGACGAAUCAAAACAUUCCUUACCAAUUGAAUUCUUGAGAAGGGCAUUGCCAUAGUUAACUUCAAAUGAGAAUAUAUCCCAUUAUAUAGAUAAUUUUUGAUCUCAUCACCCACCAAUAGAUAUAUAAUUGAAUUAUCUUUCUAACUAUACCAAUUUUGCAAAAAUCCGGCAUUGGAGUAAAAAGUUAUGGUCAUUUUACUAAGAGCUUCUCGAGCUGUCUAGGAGUGACGGACAAAAUGACUGACCGUUAAGCCAGCGACGGACCAUCACUUUGUUCGUCACAACUGAACUGGUGAGGCUUUUUUAUGGACCAAAAAUGAUGAUUGGAGUGAUGGUUAGUCACCAGAGUGAUGGUCCGUCACUCAGACCGUCAGUUUUGCCUGAAACAGCGCUAAAACAUCGUUUUAAAGAGGUUUUUGGGUCUUUUUCCAUCCUAUUUAACACCCAAUCACCUCAAAUCAAAGAACAUAACUUCUCAUUCAUCCAUAAUAUCAAAAUUAAGGUUUAUUUUAAGAUCAAAAUCCAAGAACAAGAUUCAAACCCUUCUUCAAGAAUCUAAGAUAUUCAAGUUCUUCAAACUCAAGAACAACUUAUUUUUUCUCAAAGGGACAAGAACCCUAUAUAAAAAAUCAAGAAAAAAGUUAUAUUUCUUUCAAGAUCAAACUUCAAGAUUUGUGUUUUAUUAUUCUAUGAUUUAUCUCAAGCUCCAAGAAAACUAGUUGAUUGGCGAUUCAAUUUCAAGAAAGUUCCACCGUUAAUCUUCAAGAAUCUUCCAUCUAAGGUAUGCAUAGUGUUCAUCCAUGGAUUCAUUUCAUCCAUGGAGCUCAAGAAUCAAGUUUUAAAUCAUGUAUUAUGAUUAUUUGUUGCGGGUUAAUUGUAACCAUGAGGUUGUUGUUGUAUGAUUCCCAAGUUGGAAUCUUUAUGUGAUUUUAUGAGAACAUGUUAGCAUAUAAGUUGAAAUCCAUAAAUUUUAUGGUUUAAGAUUGUUGAAUUGAUGAUUAUACCUAUGAUAGUGCAUGUAAGAUAUUUGAUAAAAUGCCUAAGAAAUUAGAAAUCAUGUAAUAUAGCUAAAUUAUGACUAAGUGAAGGAUUCAUGAUCUGCCCCUAUGUUCCAAUGACUUCCAUGUUGGUAAUGUGUCUUGUAAAUGCUGUUGGACUGCUCAUGAACUAGUCUUAUGAGAUUAUUCCAUCUUACUUGCAAAUCCUACUUAUGUACAAGAUGUGUGAUAACCAUGUACUCUAUGAAAUCCCCCAAGUUAUGAUAUUAUGGAUUGUUAAUAUUGGUCAUGUAUUCAAGAAAAUCAUGUUAUUAGUUUCCUUCCAUCGAGUCCUGGGGGCACUUGUACCUAAAAAAUAUAGCUGUGUGCCUAGAUCCAUGUCAUAUUAUCAUGUACUCUCAGUAAAGCCAUGAUCUAUAGAAAUCAGUCAGUCAUGUGACUCAGGAAAAUUCAGUAAUCUCAGUAAUCUCAGUGCUCAGUAACCUCAGCAACCUCAGUAUUCACAGUCAAUCUCAGCAACUUUAGUACUCUUAGUCAGUCCUCAGAACUCAGUACAUUCCAUCAAUUAAAGGAACUCAGUAAACUCAGUUUAGCUCCGCUAAACAAUACCACUAGUUUUAGUUCAGUUUUCUUAGUCCAGUCCAGUUCAGCUAAUCAGUUCAGUUUAGCCAAUCAGUUCAUCUCAAUUAUUCAAUUCAGUGUCUUUUAGAUAGUAGUAGGAUUCAGCACUCAGCGAACCCAAGGAUGGGAACUCACCAGUCAGAUUAGGGUGUGAUUCUUAGCAGUCAUCCUUGUGUUCCAAAACUACGUAGCCAGCAUAGGUUGAGACAUCUUAGCCUAUCAAAUUAAGGUUGAUGAGGUGGCUUAACCUGUCAGAUUAUGGUCUCACCUUUCUUAUUAGAGUAACCUGCCAGAUAAGUAUCACUCACAGAUUGUCCUUACCAGUGGUGCGGUAUUGACACCCUUCCGGUCAAGGCAAAGAUUGGACCCCAACUCAGCUAUAAUAGCAUAUAUGGGGCAUGUCGGUUAGAUAACUACUUCCUACAGUUUCAGUUUUAGUCCCAAUAUCAGUAAGAGAACUCAGAUAGUUCUUCAUAUUUUAGGACUAUCAGAUACAGUCAACUCAAAUUCAAUUCGGAACUCAGCUAGUUCCAUCAGAUUUAGGACUGUCAGAUACAGUUACUUAUGUUAUCAGAUAUAUCAGUUCUCAGAACUCAUGUUAUCAAAUAUAUCAGCUAUGAAAACUCAUGUAAUCAUUCUUAAGCUUCAGGACUGGUAGAUAUAAUCAACCAGAUCAUUUCUUCAUAAUCUGAACUGUCAUAAAUAAUUAUUCAUGUAUCAGUAAUAUAGUUUUAGUCCUUCUAUAUUUAGCAAUAUAGUAUCAGUUCCUCACUUAUUAGUGACUCAGAUAUCAGGAUCAGUAAACUCAGGUAUUCAGUAUCCCAGUAGUGACGUACUCAGAUAUCAGUAAAUCUAUGUUAUUAGUAACCUCAGUAGCCAGAACUCAGUAUUCAGUCCUAUCAUGGUCUCAGUUACAGUUACAUAGCCAUGUAUGUAUUCUCACGUUCAUGUUAGUCAGUAAAUUAUUAUUGUUCAUGCAUAUGAACCCCAUGCAUUUAGCCUACCUCACUUGCAUACUAGUACAUUCAAAGCAUUGACACAUUCGUGCUAUAGUAUCUUAUACCAUAGGCUUAGAAGUACGAGCUCUAGAGCAUCAGCAGUAGAUUCCAGUCUCAGCAGUCAGAGUUAGAAGUGAGUCCUUAUCUUUCGAGGACAUGAUGAUUUUAUUAUUUAGUUUUCAAUUUAUUUUAGUAGAUGGAUUUAGUUAGGGACGUGUCACAUCAACUCCUUAUUCAUACAGUUUAGAGGCUUUCAGACUAUAUAGUAUGUUCAAAUAAUUAUUUCAGAUUUGUUUUGGUAUUGUUAUACCAUAUUUUCAGUUAUGUAUUAGUAUUGAACCUUAUAGUUCAUAUUUCUAUAUUUUUUAGUCUUUUAUGUAGUAUAUAGGUACAGAUAUCAGUCAUGGGUUAGCUUGUGGUCCUUCGGGGUCAUGAGCACCGCGUAGUGUUUCGGUUCAGAAAAUAGGGGCGUUACAAACUUGGUAUCAGAGCCUAAGGUUCAAUAGUGUCCUAGGAAGUCUAAAAAUCUAGUAGAGUCUUGUACAUGUGUGUUUUGUGAACUACACUUAUGUACAGGAGGCUAUGAGAUGUUUUAGAAACAGUUUCCCUUCUUACAUGUCUCAAAUCAUGCUAUAGAAAAGUUUUCUAAGAAAACUCAUAUAUAUUCUCAUCAUGCUCCACGCAUGUUAACUCCACCUUACUUUCAAGGUAACAAAAAUAGUAAAGCUCAAGUCCUAGAGAUAGGGAUUUCUCAGAUAGUCCCUGCAGUUAGUUGUGGGAUUUUUCUGAAACUCAAAAUAUGCCCUCAUAUCUCUUUUCGAAAUCCUAUGAUAGCAUAGACCUAGAAUUUUUUUUUAAGCAUGAAAUCAGGAGUUAACAAUGGUAGAGUUGGGAUACUAUUAUCCAGUUUGAUUAGAUUAUAUAUUCAUAGGGAUAGUUGUACUAGAGUAAAUCAGUAGUCUUAAACAGUGUAAGCUAGAAUUUAAGUUUAUUGAUUUAAAUUAAGUAUAAAGGUGUGGCUAUAAUAUUAGUAGUAUAUGAAGCAAUAGAAGCAGCUAAUUAGCUUAGUAAGGAAAACAUACAUUUGACAGAGUGUAAGUAUGUGAUUAACAUUGCAGUUCAGUUCAGAGUUUAGUACGUGCUCACAGAUUUAAGAUGAUGGCUUAAAGCUAAGGGGGAGACUAUAGAUCAAGCAACCAAUGUCAGGCUCUCAGAUUCCAGUUGUAGUGCCAGUAUGUAUAGAAAAAUACUAAGGGAAGACAAUUCCUGACUCAUACUUAUCUCAGUGCUAGGUUUUGUACUUCAAUCAGUCUGAUACCUAUGCAUGCUUCACAUCCUUCACAUCUUAGUUCUAUGAGCACAACUUAUAUUCGCACGUUUUUCAUAGAAUCAUAUACGAUUCCAAUUUCUAUUAGAAGUAGUAUCAGGUCCCUCAAUGUUACAAAUCAUGUCCCACAAAUUUAGAAACUCCAAACUCAGGUCAUGCAGCAUGACUCAUGUAUACAUGUCACACCUUACAGUAUAUUUAGUUUCCAUGACUCAUGCUAUGCCUGAUCUGAGGUUUAUCUUAGAGAAGUAACUGGCACCCUGAAGUUGGUCAAAUAAGUCAUCAAUUCUACGAAGUGGAUACUUGUUCUUGGCCGUGACUUUAUUGAGUUGACGGUAAUCUAUGCACAUUCUGAGAGAACUGUCUUUCUUUCGCACAAAUAAGAAUGGUGUGCCUUACAAGGACACACUGGGUUUGAUGAAUCCCUUAUCUAGGAGAUCCCUCAACUUUUCUUUUAAUUCUUUGAGUUCUACUGGUGCCAUUUUAUAUGGAAGAAUAGAUAUAGGCUGGGUAUCUGGAAGAAGAUCAAUGUCGAAGUCUAUAUCUCUUUUGGGAAGAAUUCCUGGAAGAUCUUUGGGAAAGACAUCUGAGUAUUCAUUCACUACUAGGACUGAUUUAAGACUGGGAAUUUUAGAACUAGAGUCCUUAACUCAAACAAGAUAAUAGACACAUCCUUUAGAUAUUAUUUUCCUUGCCCGUAGGUAGGAAACAAGCUGACCCUUAAAGGCUGAAGUACUACCCCUCCACUUUAAGAUGGGUUCAUUUGAAAAUUGAAACUAGAUAAUUCUAUUUCUACAGUCGACUGUGGCAUAGUAGGAAUAAAAAUAAUUCAUGUCGAGAAUGAUAUCAAAGUUAGUCAUCUCUAAUUCGACUAAGUCUCUGAUAUAACUUUCUCAGAUACCAUAACCGGAUAGUUCCUAGAUAGACAUUGGGCUAUGAUAGUUUUACACACUGGGGUAGAGACUAAAAAGGGUUAUACUAGAAUUUUGGGACUGACUCCAAAAUCAACUGCUAUAUAAGGAGAAACAAAAGACAAGGGAGCUCUUGGAUCUAGAAAAACAUAAAUAUGCAAGUGAAUGAUCUGUAACAUACCAGUGACCACAUCAGGAAUUUUCCUGAUCUUAUCGGGACUUUAGAGCAUAAAGUCUAUUUAGGCAUUGCCUACUGGUGGCGCUAGAAGUGGUACCCUACUGUUCCAAGUGAAUAGACAGAGUAGAGUAAUAAUUACGCUGACCCUAAAAACUUGACUGGGGAUAUUCUCUGAACUUGUGGCUUGGCUUGCAACAUCUGAAAUAGAUGUCGUUGCUAGCUCUGCAAAUACCCUGGUGGUUCUUACCACAAGUCUGACAAAGAGGAUGAGUGCGGGCAUUGCUAACAUUGCCCUGAGGUUUAUGUCCUGAUGCCUUAUCCCUAUUGCCAUCUCUAAAUUUUAGAACUGGAGCACUGGCUGAGGAAGGAGUUGGAAUGUAUGACUUUAGGUGGAAUUGAGAACGAUUCCUACCCUCCGACUUAGGCUGAACAAAGUUGAAACUACCUGUCUUUGCUUUCUUAUUCUGCUUCUCUCUCAUCUUAAUCUUCUGCUCUUCUAUCUAUUGAGCAUAGAUCAUAAACCAUGCUAUGUCCAUCUCACUAAUCAACAUCAUAGACUUGCACUCAUUGACCACACUAUCAUUCACUCUAAAAACAAACUUACUCAUCUUAGCCCUGCUGUUUGCCACUACAUGAGGAGAGUAUCUAACUAAUUGGGUAAACUUAAGAGAAUACUCUUUCAGUGUCAUGUUGCCCUACCUAAGGUUGAUAAAUUCUAGCACCUUAGCUGCUCUCAGCUCUAUGGGAAAGAAUCUAUCUAGAAAUACAAUGGAAAACUCCUCCCACUCAAUAGGCCCCUACAUUUAUAGCCCUCUCUGCCUUUCACUGCUUGUAACUAAUAUACAGCUAGCUUAGCACUCUUACUAGCCAUAACCCCCAUAAUAUCUAUAACCUUCUAAACCUGAUCAAGGAAUUCCUGAGGAUCCUUAUCUGACUUAGACCCCAAGAAAGAUGGAGCAUUCAUUCAGGUGAAGUCCCGAAUCCUGACUGCAGCUGAAUUGGCCACUAGGUUAGCCAAAAUAACAACUGGUUAUUCAUUCUGUGUAGCAACUGAAUUAGUAAGAGUAGUGAAUACAACUCUGAACUCUACAUGAGAAAUAUGUUCGUCCAAGUGAUCUGCUUGGACGGGCUGAGGGGCUAACUGAUUUUUAUUUCUUCUUUUGGGAGGCAUAUUUUGUAAGCAAAAAGGGAGAAAUGUAAUAGACUGAAAGUUAAUUUGAGCUCAUGAUCAUUGGAAUGACAUGAAUUUUGAAAGAAUAAACACUGUUCCUAAAACAUCUUAUAGCCUCCUGUACAUAAAUUUGGCGUGCAACACACCAAAGAACAAGACUUUACUAGAUGCGGCUUUUCAGACUUCCUAGGACAUUGUUGAACCUUAGGCUCUAAUACCAAGUUUGUAACACCCCAAAUUUGAUAUUCAGAAUGCUACAUAGUGCUAGCAAUCUCGAAGGACCACAAGCUAACCCAUGACUGAUAUCUGUAGCUGAGCACUACAUAAUAUACUGUAUAAAUUGUAGAAUAAAAGGGCUAAAAGGCCAUAAGGUUCAAAUAUCUAAUAACAUAUAACAUCUGGAAAUACGGAAUAUUAAUACCACACUUAAAUAAACUAUUUGAACAUGUUAGUCUGAAAGCCUCAAAACUGACUGAAAAACUAUGGAGUUGAUGGGAUAUGUCCCCAACUAACUUCAUCUACUAAAACUGGAAUAAUGAAGUAAUAAAAUAAUCAUUCUAUCCUCGAAUGAUGAGGACUCACUACAAAUCUUCUGCUACUGGUUGAAUCUGAAGCUAAGUGCGAUCGAGAACUUGAGUGUCCGAACCUAUAGUAUAAAAAACCAUAACACAGAAGAAAAGUAUGCUCAGUACAUCUGAAUGUAUUGGUAAGCAAAGUGAGGUAGGCUAAAUGCAUGGGGUUCAUAUGCAUGAACAAUACUAACUGACUGAAUAACAUGAACAUAAAAAUACAUACAUGAAUAUGUAACUAUAAAUGAGAUCGUGAUAAUACUGACUAGUGAGUCUGAAUACUGAUAACAUAAGUUUUGUAUAACUGAUAUACUGUUAACUGAGUGACUGUAUCUGACAGUCGUGAUUCUAAUGGAACUAGCUGAGUUCCAUACUGAACUGAGUAACUGUAUCUGACAGUCCUGAAUUUGAAGAACUAUCUAAGUUCUUUUAUUGAGACUAUAACUGAGACUGUGGAAAGUAGUCAUCUAACCGAUAUGACCCUUUUUCUAUAUAGAGUUGGGGUCCAAUCUGUAACCUUAAUUGGACGGGUGUCAAUACUGUAUCAUUGGUAAGGACAAGCUAUGAUUAAUCCUUAUCUGGUAGUAUCCCCAAAGGAGAACACUGGGACUCUUAUCUGGCAGUGUUAAUCCACCUCAUCAACCCUCAACUAUCAGUGUUGAUGUAUCAACCUAUGAUGGCUAUAUAUUUCUGGAGUGCAAGGAUUUCUUAUAAGGAUCACAACCUCUACUGUUAGUGUGUGCCCUUAUCCUUGGGUUCACUUGGUGCUAAAUCCUAUUCCUAACCAAAUAGACACUGAACUGAUUAUACUGAGAUGAACUAGACUUAGUUCACUGAAUUCCUUGGACUGAUGGAAUAUUUCUAAAUUCUGUUAACUGACUGAGUUCAUGAGAUUCCUAAGUUUUCCUAAGUCAUGUAACUGGAUGAAUUCUAGAGAGUUCUAAAACUGACUGAGAAUACUAUUGAUCAUGGCGUGACUAAGAUUAUUAAGAAACUAACACUGGCUCUUGGUACACAGCUAAAUUGUCAGGUACAAGUACCCCCAGGACUCGAUAGCAUGAAACUAAGAAGAUAUAAUGCUUCUUGAACAUAUGACCAUAGUCAACAAUUCAUAGUACAAAUGUUGGAGAUAUUCAUAAAGUAUUUGUAUGACAUAAGCUUACACAUGAAUAGGGAUACAUAUAAACAUGUCAUAAUUUUGUAAGUCUAAUCUCAUGAGCAUUCCACCAAACCAUUACAAUGCAUAACAAUAACAUGAGGGUCAUUGUGAACAUAAGGGUUAAGCAUGGAUUCAUCAAUUUGGUCACAAUUAAGUCAUAAAGCAUAAUUUUUAUUCUCUUAGGCAUUUUAGCAAACAUCUUGCAUGCAUAAUUUGAGGCUUAGGCAUGACCAUUAAAAUAAUACAUCAUGGCAACAUUAUUCACUCCAAAUACAAGAAUUCCAACCACAUGCUAACAUAACUUUAUUCUAUGUAUUAAAGAUUUCAACUUGGUAAUCAUACAAUAACAUAAACAUAGAUAUGAUUCAAUUCAUAACAUGGAAUUCAAAAUUUAUAUUUUUGAAAGGGAUUCUUGAGCUUCAUGGGUGAAAGGAAUCCAUGAAUCAACACUUUACAUACCUUAGAAAGAAAUUCCUUGAAAAUUAAUAGUGGAAUCUCCUGGAUUAGAACCUUUAAUUGAAACCCUAGACUUGUUCUUGAGGGAAUUUGAGAGAAACAACUAUGUUUUGGUGAAAACCUAGCUGAAUCUUAUGUUAUAGGCUUAUAUAGGGAGGGGGGAAUUAACCCUUUUGCCCUUAAAGAUGCCGACAUUUAAUGACUAAAACCUGGGCAUCGAUGCGAUACCCAAUCUGUCAUGCCAUAUUACGCUAAGCCUCAGUAGUUUUGACUCUGGAAACCUACAACAAUGUUAACCAAUGUGAUAGGCGCGACACAGCGCACCAAGAUCGUAUUGUUCUACUAUUUUGGAACACCAAACAUGGUCUAAACAAGUUCUAAAAAAUCUAAAACCUAUCCGGGAAUAUCUAUUGACCUCUCUGAUCAUGAAUCAAUAAAAAUAUAGACCAUUAAGGGACAUUAGGUCAUGAAAUAAAAUUUCCAACUUUUGAAGGACAAAACUAAACUAAGUCUGGGAACUUAACUAAAAUUUUCCAAGUCUAAGACCCAUUGACAAGCCUAAAAGGAUGAAUUAAGCUUAGAAAUUUUGCGGGCUUUUACAGUCAUAGUUUCUCAAAAAGUUACUUUAGUUGAUUUUGUGGAGUUAGAGAUGACUUAUUUUGAAGUUAUUCUCGGCAUGGAUUGGCUCCACUCAUAUUGUGCCUUAGUUUACUGUAUAAAUAACAUUGUUUAGUUCUAGUUUCUUAAUAAACUAGUUAUUGAAUGAAGGGGUAGUAUUUCAGAGCUUAAAGGUCAGUUUGUCUCAUAUCUUAAGGCAAGAAAGAUAAUAUCCAAAGGGUGUAUUUACCAUCUCAUCUGAGUCAAUGACUCAAAUUCUAGAACUCUGAGUCUUGAGUCGGUUCCUGUAGCAAAUGAAUUUUCAGAUGUGCUUCCUAAAGAUCUUCCCAGAUAUCCUCCCAAAAGGGAAAUUGACUUCGAAAUAGAUCUCCUUCCAGACAUACAACCUAUCUCUAUUCCACCUUAUAGAAUGUCUCUAGCUGAGUUUAUUCAUAUGUAAGGAAAAUAGUUCUCUCAAAAUGUGCAUCAACUACUAUCAGUUGAACAAAGUCAAUCAAGAACAAAUAUCCUCUCCCCAAGAUUGAUGACUUAUUUGACCAGCUUCAGGGUGCCAGUUAUUUCUUUAAGAUAGACCUCAGGUCCAGCUAUCAUCAGUUUAGAGUCAAAGAAUGUGACAUUCUGAAGAUAGCCUUCAAAACUCGAUAUGGUCACUUUGAAUUUCUAAUUAUGUAUUUUAGACUAAUUAAUGUCCCUAAAACUUUUAUGGACUGGAUGAAUAGAGUGUUCAAGAAGUACUUGGACAUGUUCAUCACAGUCUUCAUUGAUGAUAUCCUUGUCUAUUCUUGUAGUGAGAGUGAUCAUGCAAACCAUUUGAGGGUUGUAUUGAAGACCCUAAAGGAUCACCAAUUAUUUGCUAAGUUCUGCAAAUGUAAAUUUUGGUUGAGAUCAGUAGCUUUAUUGGUUACAUUAUUUUUUAUGAUGGCAUUUGAGUUGAUCCUCAAAAAAGCAGUGAGAAACUGGCCUAGACCCAUCUCUCCAUCAGACAUUAGGAGUUUUUUGGAUUUACCUGGCUAUUAUAGAUGGUUUUUCAAAGGGUUUUCUUCUAUUUCUUUUACUAUGUCUUAACUAACCUAGAAAAAAGUCAAAUUUCAGUGGUUAGAUUCAUGCGAUAAGAGUUUUUAGGAGUUAAAGACUCGACUCACUUCCACUCUAUUCUUGACUUUGCUAGAUGGUAUAGAUUGGUUUAUUAUGCAUUGUGAUGCUUUUAGAGUUGGUCUUGGUUAUGUAUUAAUGCAUAGAGGUAAGGUCAUAGACUAUGCCCCUAAAUAGCUUAAACACUAUGAAAAGAAUUAUCCAACCCAUGAUCUUGAGUUUGCAGUUGUUGUCUUUGCCUUAAAGAUUUGGAGUCAUUACCUUUAUGGGGUUCAUGUUGAUUCGUUCAUAGAUCACAAGAGUUUACAGUAUGUAUUUACACAAAAAGACCCAAAUAUUCGUCAGAGAAGGUGGCUUGAAUUACUUAAAGACUAUGAUAUGAGGGUGUUGUAUCAUCCGAUCAAGGCCAAUGUAGUUCCAGAUAUCCUUAGUAGAUUAUCUAUGGGUAGUGUUUCCCAUGUUGAGAAUGAUAAAAAAGAGUUAGUCCAUGAGGUUCAUCAGCUUUCUAGGUUAGGAGCUCGGUUAGUUGAUUUAUUCAAAGGUAGUAUAUGGGUUCAAAAUGGUUUGAAAUAUUCAUUGGUUGCCAAAGUAAAACAAAAUAAAGACUGGGAUCUUGGUUUGGUUAAGUUGAAGGAGACAAUUAGAGGUUAGGAGGUGGAGGCUUUAUUCCAAGGGAAAGAUGGUGUGCGUUAUUGUCAAGGUAUGUGUUCCGUGUGUUGAUGGUCUAAGACAAUGAAUAUUAACUGAGGCGCAUGGUGCAUAAUAUUCUAUCCACCCAGCAGCUACUAAGAUGUAUCAUGAUUUGCAGAAAAUCUAUUAGAAGAAUGGUAUGAAAAAGGAUAUUAUAGAGUAUGUGGCUAAGUAUUCAAAUUAUCAGCAGGUUAAGGUUGAGCACCAAAGGCCUAGUGGUACAGUACAGCAGUUUAGCAUACCUUCUUAGAAGUGGGAGGUAGUGAAUAUAGACUUUGUGAUAGGGCUGCCUCAUAUGCGCCGUCAACAUUAUUUGAUAUGGGUCACUGUAGAUAGAAUGACCAAGUCAACUCUUUUUUUGCCAGUUCAUACUUCGUUUUCAGCUGAGGAUUAUGCUAGACUUUAUCUUAGGAAGUUGGUGAAGUUGCAUGGGGUUCUAUUGUCUAUCAUUUUAGAUAGAGAUAUUUAGUUUACCUCUCACUUUUGGAAGGCUUUUCACAAGGAUCUUGGUACCCAAGUUCACCUCAAUACAACUUUUCAUCCCCAGAUAGGUGGUUAGGCAAAACAAACCAUUGAUACUUUAGAUGACUGUUGAGGGCUUGUGUUAUUGACUUUAAGGGUAGUUGGGAUGACCACUUACCUUUGGUUGAGUUUGCCUAUAAUAAUAGUUAUCACUCUAGUAUUCAGAUGGCUCCGUUUGAGGCUCUCUAUGAAAGGAGAUGUAGAUAUCCCAUUAGUUGGUUUAAAGUAGGAGAGGCUGUUUUGAUAGGGCCAUAUUUAGUUUAUGAGGCGAUGGAGAAAGUUCUGUUGAUUCGGGAAAGGCUGAAGACAACCCAAAGUCAUCAAAAUUCUUAUGCAGAUAUAAAGAGAAGAGAUCUUGAGUUUGAUGUUUGUGAUUUAGUUUAUUUGAAGAUUUCACCCAUGAAAGGGGUGAAGAUAUUUGGUAGGAAGGGGAAGCUUAGUCCUCUCUAUAUUGGCCCAUAUAAAAUUUUGAGCGGUUUUGUAAAGGUAGCUUAAGAGUUGUAGUUGACUGUAGAAUUGGCAUCAGUGCAUCCGGUGUUUUAUGUCUCUUUGUUAAGGAAAUACAUUGGCGACCCAGCUUUAGUCAUGCCCGUAGAGAGUAUGAUUAUGAAAGAUAGUCUCUCCUAUGAAGAAAUCUAGUUGAGAUCAUUUACUAUCAGAUUUGUAGGUUGAGGAAUAAAGAAGUCCCCUUGGUUAAGGUUCUAUGGAGAAAUCAGUGUGUUGAAGGAGCUACUUGGGAAGCAGAAGCAUUUAGGCAAGCGAAGUAUCCCAUCUCUUUUCUAUAAAUUUUGAUUCAGCUUGAGGUAAUGGUUUCCCUUAAUUGAUUUUCUCAUUUUCAAUCUCAGUUAUAUAACCAUCCUCAUGUCAUAGCAUACAUUCAUGAAUUUAGUUCAGUUCACGCAUCAUGUUUCAGAUUCAGUUAUUUAAUCACAAAUUAGCUCAUGGGUAUUUAGUGCACGCUUUUAGAUUUCCUAGUACCUCAGCUCAAAUAGUUCUAUUCGAGGAUGAAUGAUCCCUAGGGGGAGCUAUUGUAAUACCCUAUGUGUAAAAGUUAUUGUAUAAUGUACGACUUAUCUCCUUAAGUCAUAUAAACAAUAUAUGAGUCAUAUGUUGGAGUCGUACCUAUGGCAGGGUGGAGUAGUUUAAUUCUAUUAUAGAUACGAGUUGACCCUAGAAUUUGUUAAGGCAUGGUACGAGUCAUAUAAAGUGGAGUCGUAAGGGUAACAACCUAGGUUCCCUAAGUUUCUGUCUAUCUUACGAGUGGUGGCAGAUGUGUGAGAAAAAACUAACACAUUUAAUGUUUUUUAGCUUAAAAUAAUUGUGAAUUCUGAAGCAACUCUUGUUGUUUUGAUGUGUUUGCUUAUGAUAUUGCAGUAAAGGAAUGAAGGAAUGGAAAUAAAUGACAAUGGAGCAAAAGAGUUAAAAAUCUGAGAAAAAGAGAAGAAAACAUGACUGAUGACAUUCGUGAUAAGUCGUCAACCUUGUAAAAGCCUAUCAGAAGUAGCGUCAGCCUUAACCAGGGAAUUAGAGCUAAGAAGCAGUUCUGAUGACGUCUGUGAUGUGGGGUCAAAUGGGUGAUACGGCAUCAAGAAUGGCGUCAGCCUUAAGCAGAAAAUUAGCAAUAGGAGAAGACAUCUGAUGACGUUGGUGAUACACCGUUAGAUCCUUGACACAGCGUCAGAGUCAUCGUCAGCAUAAAGCAGAGAAUUGAAAAAACUGAAGCAAGUCCGACACCAUCCGUGAUAGGGCAUUGGACUCUUAACGCAGCGUUUGCUUGGGCAUCACCUAAUCCGAGAAUUAAUUGAAUUUACUAUUUUAUUUCCUUAAUUAGGAUUUAGUAUAAAUAGCAUCUUUUAGGAUUUAUUCAAGAGUUCUCUUUUUUUAGUUUUAGAGAGUUUUAUUUUCUUCAACAAUUAUCAACUAUUGGUGGAUUCCUAUUUUCAGGAUUAAAUUGAAGAAAUUACUUGUUGCUUUUCAUCUGUUGGUAAGUUUAUCCUUAUUAUCAUGAAUUCAACUUUGUAUUUCAUUCAUCAAAUCAUGAGUGGCUAAUUACAUUAGCUGGAGUUAUGGGAUCCAUGGACUAGGGUUUGAUAGGUUACUAGGUAUUUAACGGAUUCAAACAGUAGUAGGACGUCUUGAAAUUCUGUUGUUUUAACUGAAAUCUACUAGUUGCAAACAUUAGGUUAUGCCUUAGGUUUUAUUUUUUUCUAAUGGAGAAAUAGACUAGAGAUCGUGAAUUAUCAACAAGGACUGGGAAGCUACCAACCUUCUGUUUAAUGACCAAUGUCGUAACUGGAUUGAUCUACCUGAGAUAAAAUCCUAUUGAAAAUAGAUAAGUUAUCUAAGUUUGAGAGAAUUAUAUAAUAAAUUGUCUGGUGAGGUUGAGAGAUAAGUCUGAUAGUAUCAUCGUCAGGGAUAUUCUAUUGUUUCUCCUUACUUCAAGAAUCCCAAGCAUUACCUAGUAUCUAUCAAUUUCCAAAACCCAUGGUGAGCAUAACUCUGGUUUCCCAUUUAGAUUGAUUUCAAACACUGAAAUUAAAGUGACCAAAAUAAAUUAUUUGCUAAUCUCCAAAACCCCCAUUUUAUCUAUUUUAUAUCGAUUGUUUGAAUUUAACUUGUAGUUUUAGUUUCAAACUAGUUUAAUCACCACUCACAUUGUUCCUUGUGGGAUUCGACACCAACCUAGUUGGGUUUUAGAUUGACAAUGAUCGUUUGCACCCAUUCAAGAGUGUAAUUUGAGCGUUAUCAAAAAUGGCUCCGUUGCCGGUGAAUAAUUUAGCAUAUUGAGUUGGUUUGGAAUUUUAGCCUACUAGCUUGAAUUUAAACUUGUAAAUAUUUGUUUUUAGUUUUCUUUUAUUUCUUGUGUUAGGUAGAUUUUUAUUUUAGUUUACUUAUUACUAUGGCAUCAUGGAAUGAACAUGAGCUUGGUGGUUGAAAAUAUUAUCUUGAUGGUCCAUGUCCAUAUUGUGAUGGACCUCACUUUUAGCAAGAUUGUAGAUAUGCUCUACGGAGAGAGAUGUGUGCACCAUCUCCAUCCUACCAGGAGUAUGAUUGUUCUUUAUGUUGUGGUCGAGAUGGACAUUGGAGUGAUUGCCUAAAUGCCCCCUCCCCCUAUUGCGCUAACCUAAAUUCUAGUUCUUUUUAUGAGUUUGAUAGGUUUUAUGGUCAAUAAAAGGAAGAACGAAGCACCGGUAAGAGUGGCAUUAAAGUUAUAUUUCAACGAAGGUUGGAUCUACAAAAAGAAACAUAUGAUAUCGUAUGUGAUAUGCAUCAAUAUAUGAAGCCGAUCAUUCAUGAGGAGAUGGAUAUAGAGGUCAAUCGUCCAAAACACUUUUCUACAUUAUGUUUAGAUGAUAUAUUAUCUGUGGAAUUAUUUAAAAUAAUGGAAGAAUGUGAGGAUGAAGAGCAAGAAUCCUAGGUUAAUGAUGAGCUUGAUGUUGAGCAACCCUCGAUGAUUUGCCAACCAACCAAACUAUUUAUGAAUGAAGAUGCCAAGGUUGAGGAAAUGGUAUUAGAGUCAAAAGAAGAAAUCAAGCACAAACCUCGUGAAGACUCUUCUCCAUUUUGGGGUAAAAAUACUAAUAGGGAAGUUAUUCUGAAAUUGAGGGCCAGUCAUCAUUCGAAUCACUUUUCAAUAUUAUGCUUAAUGGAUGUGAUGAAAGUCGAAUCACCCAAGCAAAUGACAAAUUUUUAAAAUGGGUAGGAAGAUUCUUACAUUUUUGAGUUUGUCCUUCCAAAAGGGUUUACUACAACCCCAAUAGUGAAGGACAAGGAGCUUAAAGAUCAAUGUCCAUUUAGUGGCUGUUUAAGAUUCUCAACUUUGCCAAAUGAGCCCCACAAAAGUUUGAUGCAAAAUUGGGCAAGCAGUUCAAGUCUUCGAAGUGGCGUGAUAGAACAUUCCUCAUCAUUCCCUCAGAUUUGCCCAACACACCCCAAAGAUGUAUUGAUCAAAAGUUAGGCUGGCAUUUUAAUCCUCCAAGUGGAGACAUAAAUAAUUAUUAACAAGGUAUCUUGACGAAGUCUUAGUCAAGAUAACCGAGUCACGCCGUGAUGUUAAACUAGGCACUGCUUGGGAGGCAACCCAAGGUAUUUUAUUAUUUGUAUUCAUCUUAUGUGAUUGACAUUAGAUCUUCGCAUCCAUGGUGCCACAGGUAUAUUUCUAACUCUCUUGUUUUGGUUUGACGCAUUGGAGACAUUGCAUGAUUUUAAGUUGAGGGUGGGGCUACUUCUAGGUGUUGAUGUCCUCCCUGGGGUUUUUGUUGCCAUGCCUCUUUUUCCCGGAGUCUUGUUCCUAGUAGAACCGGCAUGUUUAGACGUAUUGUGUUUUAUUUUGUGAUGUGUUGUGGUUAAUUAAGGGAAAAAUAAGUAUCUAGGGCAUUUGAUAUAUUUUUAUUGAUUUCUCUUGGAAUGACAAAUACCUCUCCAACUGUCUAUAUGAUAAUUAUGGGAUAUGCAUCUAUAUGUGACUACUUUGAAUCUUUUUAUGGCAUUAGUUCUAGGGAUAUGUUAAUCAUCGCUAAAAAUUGCAUGAACCGGAUAGGUAGUAGCUUGUGAUGUACCUUUGUGCCAUGUGUGUGUGAGGUCUAGCUCAGUUCCCUUUGUGUGUUGAAUCUAGAACUUGCCCGGUUAAUCUUGCCUGGGUUGAAAGAUGGGGGUUAGGAAAGGAUUAUAGGCUUUUUUUGAAUUGAGUCACUUUUUAACCUAAAAUAACCUUUCCUAUGUACAUGUUACCACUUGAUCCCUGUUUUGAGUCUAAAUUAACCAUUUCUUUCUAUAAUACCUAUCAUUUUCCCUUUUAGAUCAUAAUGAACCUGUUUUGGCCCUGGUCUUCCUUGGACACUGUGCACCUUGACUUAGGCAAACAACCUAAGUUGAGGGUGGCUAUCAUAGGGGUGCAUGAUGUAAAUUAGGUAUGAAGAAGGGUAGAAUAAAAGAAAAAGAAUAAGUGAAAAACAAAUAGAAAGUUGGGUGUUGGUGAAAAAGAGCAAGAAAAGAAAUUUGUUUGAAUAGGAAGAAAGGACCACCCAUUCUGAAUGUGUGAUCAAGAAAAGAGAAAAAGAAGAGAAGAAAAAGAGAGAAAAAGAAGUCAAUAAGUGGACCCCAUAAGUUAAAGUAGUGCCAAUGAGGUUAGUCACUCUAAAUGCCGUAUAAUAUCAUAUCAACCCUUAGUUUACGUUACAAGCCUAAGAAAGACCUAUAGUGAUCCUAGAUUACCUGUCUAGACACUUUUGUGAUGAAGAUAAGGGAAAGCAUAUAGUAUAUGGCAUACAUUGGUUUGAACUUCAUUCUGAGAGUGAAUGUUUUUGUGUUGAUCCCCAUGUUGAUACUUUGAUUUCUAUUGUGAGAGAAAAAAGGGAAAUUCUUUGUUGUGAGGGCACACUAGUAUGUUGCUAAGUGACUUACUUGUUUGGGCAGCGUCAUAUUAAUAUAAGCAUGAUUGUUGGUACUGAGUUGAUGCCAUGGAUGGAAUCCCUUGUGUUCCAUUGCUGCUUUUCAAUAAGAUACACAGUAGUUUAAAUUGGUUGACCUUGGAGGCGGGAACUGAGUUUUGAGCUAAAAUGGUUGUCGACUGCUGAAUGUUCUUUGUGUUCUCUUAGUUAGUUUGUUUCUUGAGGACAAGAAAUUGUUUUAAGUUGAGGGUGUUGAUAUGUGAGCAAAAGCUAAUACAUUUAAUGCUUUUUAGCUCAAAAUAAUUGUGAAUUCUGAAGCAACUCUUGUUGUUUUGAUGUGUUUGCUCAUGAUAUUGCAGUAAAAGGCUAAAAGAAUGGAAAUAAAUGACAAUGGAGAAAAAGAGUUGAAAAUCUGAGCAAAAGAUAAGAAAACAUGGCUGAUGACAUCCGUGAUAAGUCGUCAACCUUGUGAUAGCCUAUCAGAAGAGGCGUCAGCCUUAACCAGAGAAUUGGAGCUAAGAAGCAGUUUUGACGAUGUUUGUGACAUGGCGUCAAGUGGGUGAUAAGGCAUCAAGAAUGGUGUCAGCCUUAAGCAGAAACUUAGCGAUAGAAGAAGACAUCUGACGACAUUGGUGAUAUUCCGUUAAAUCCUUAAUGUGGCGUCAGAGUCAUCGUCAGCCUAAGGCAGAGAAUUGAAGAAACUAGAGCAAGUCUGAUGCCAUCCGUGAUAGGGCGUCAGACUCUUGACGCGGCGUCAUCUUGGGCGUCACCUGAUCUGAGAAUUAAUUGAAUUUGCUAUUUUAUUUCCUUAAUUAGACUCUAGUAUAAAUAGCAUCUUUUAGGGUUUUUUUUAGUUUUGGAGAGUUUUAUUUUCUUCAAUAAUUAUCAACUAUUGGUGGAUUCCUAUUUUUGGGAUUAAAUUGAAGAAACUACUUGUUGCUUUUCAUCCGUUGGUAAGUUUAUCCUUAUGAUCAUGAAUUCAAAUUUGUAUUUCGUUCAUCAAAUCAUGAGAGGCUAAUUCCAUUAGACAGAGUUAUGGGAUCCGUGGACUAGGGUUUGAUAGGUUACUAGGUAUUUAAUGGAUUCAAACAGUAGUAGGACGUCUUGAAAUUUUGUUGUUUUAAUAGAAAUCUACUGGUUACAAACAUUAGGUUAUACCUUAGGUUUUAUUUUCUUCUAAUGGAGAAAUAGACUAGAGGUCGUGAAUUAUCAACAGGGACUCAAAAGCUCCCAACCUUCUGUUUAAUGAUCAAUGUCGUAACUGGAUUGAUCUACCUGAGAUAAAAUCCUAUUGGAAAUAGAUAAGUUAUCUAAGUUUGAGAGAAUUAGAUAAUAAAUUAUCUGGUGAGGUCGACAGAUAAGUCAGAAAGUAUCGUCGUCAGGGAUAUUCUGCUGUUUCUACUCAAUUCAAGAAUCCCAAGCAUUACCUAGUAUCUAAUAAUUCCCAAAACCCAUGGUGAACAUAACUCUGGUUUCCCAUUUAGAGUGAUUUCAAACACUGAAAUUAAAGUGACCAAAAAAAAUUAUUUGCUAAUCCCUAAAACCUCUAUUUUAUCUUUUUAUAUCGAUUGUUUGAAAUUAACUUGUAGCUUUAGUUUCAAACAAGUUUAAUCUCCACUCACAUUGUUCCUUGUGGGAUUUUACCCUAACCUAGUUAGGUUUUAUAUUGACAACGAUCGCUUUCACCCAUUCAAGAUUGUAAUUUGAGUGUUAUCAGUGGCUAUAAGUUGUAUUGACUUGUUAUGAGUCACAAGAUAUGACUCAUAUCCUGACCAGUAAAGGAUACAAGAAUCAAACGUCAUGUUUUGAUAGUUUUAUAAGUUACUUGGACAUAUAUUAAGUCCUCAAAUAGCUCUUAGAUCAUGAACAAGAUGAAACAUCCCUUAGCGAUUAAGUUCUUAAGAAGAAUAUAACUAUAGUCAUAUUUAAACUAGCAUAAAUUCUGUUAUACUAAGAAUGUCUGAGCUUAAUACCCAUCAACAGAUAGAUAAUUGAAUUAGCUUUCCACUUAUACUAAUUUUGACUUAAUCCGAUAUUGGGGUAAAAAGUUAUGGUCAAAUUACUGAAGCACUGUCAAAGAUGUCAGUGGUUACGAUUCAUAGAUGAUGACUCAUAAGCAGACCAUGCGAGUUGUCAGGAGGAGUCGUACCCAUAAUAGCAAGGGUCAAAAUUUGGGCUCCUAUAGAAGAUUCAGGACACAACCCGUACCUAGAACAUAUGAGUCGUACCCAAACUGGUCGGGAUGGCUUCCAAAUGUUUUCCAAGUAAUUUCUAAGGUUUUUAGGUCCUUUUAUACUCUCUCAACCCCAAUACUACGUCUUUUCAUCCUUUAAACAAAAUUUAUCAAGUGUAAAAACUAUCCUACCCUAUUGUAACUCAGAAAUCAUCAAUCACAGAGCAAAAGGGGCGAUUUCUUUCUCCCCAAAACCAACUAGGGUUCAUUAAAUUCAAGUUCAAUACCAAGAAAUUUAUCCAAGGCUUCAACAUUCAGGUAUGUGGAGUAUUCAUCAAUGUUUUACUUUCACCCAUUGAGUCCUAAAAAUCCCCUUUUUGUUUAGGUAUGGAUUUUAACCUUCUUUUGAGAAAUUAUCCAUGUAAAUCAUGAAUUUAAUUCAUGUCUUCUUAGAUAUUUAAUUUCAAGCCAUGUCAACAUUCCUUCCCAUGUAAAUUAGGUUGCUUUAUGUUUUAAAUUUCAAUUAUCCAUGUCAUGUUCAAUUUAUUUCAUACUAAAUCAUCAAGUUAUGAAUUAAACCAUGAAAAUAUGUUGUCCUCUCAAGUUUAACACAUUCCCAUGAUCAAAUUCAUGUUUCUUACUUAUUCAUUAAAUGUCUUAUGUUUUGGGUAUUUGAACUAUGACCAUAUAUCACUGUUUUAAAUAUUGUUAUCCUAUUUUUUAAUCAUUCAGUGCUGGAGGGUUAUGAACACCCGAUACCUAUCUGUUUAUACACAUCUUUAUUCUCAUGUUACAAGUCAGUCAUACUAUGAUUUUAUUACUACAUUCAGAAUAUUAUGUUCAUGCUGAGCACUCAUUAGUAAAGUACCAUAUCAUGUUAGACCCAUAAUAAUAAUAAUAAUACAGUGUCAUUUAGUUGGGAGUAGGAUUUAGCACCAAGUGAAAUUAGGGAUGGGGGAUCACCUGCCAGUUAGGACUGAGUCCUUAGUAGUAGUCCCUAAGUUCCAGAACUACGUAGCUAGCGUAGGAUUAUAGGAUUCACCUGCCAGUUUAGAACUAAUUUCCUAGUCCUUUGGGACUUCAGCCUUGUAGAUCCACAUCAUCAGCCAUGUGUUAGUACCCGUGGCAAGGUACGAUACCCUUCCAACUGGGGUUACAGGUUGGAUCCUAAUUUUCUCAGAUUGGGUCAUGUCGAUUAUAUAAUAGCUCUCACAAUUUUAGUCAAUACUCAUUCUAUAUCAGUUCUUGUUUCUUUGACCAAGAAAUCAGAUUUUUAGUUAUUUAAUCAGUCAGUUUUAUAGAUUAUUUUAGUACAUACUUACCUGGUCUUGCAUUCUCAGUUUUACAUGUUCAUGCAACUACGUUUAGUUUCUACAUGUAUAUCAGUUAAUCUUUACUUCACGUACCAGUAUAUUCAAAGUAUUGAUCGCAUACUUUUCUCUUACACUAUGUUGUCUUAUAACAUAGGUUUGGACGUAUAGUUUAUUGACCAUCCCUAGACAGCUCAGCAAUUCCCCGCAGCAGUAAUGGUGAGUCCUCAUCCACUAAUGAAGUGACAUAAUAUUUCAAUAUUUCUUUAAACUCAAUCAGUUGGAGUUAGGUGGGGGUUUGUCUCAUCAUAUCCUUAUGUUUAGAGGAUUUUAGACAAACAGUCUAGUUUCCAGUAUUUAUCAGAUACUUUAGACCUAUCGUUUUAUAUAUUUUUGUGUUUUCUUAUAGCACUUUAUUAGUUUAUCUUCUGCACAUGUUUUUUUAUUAUUUUAUUCAUUGGUCACUGCAGGUACCAGGCCAUGGGUUAGCUUGGGGUCACUUUUGGCCUUAAGCACCGUUUCACUACCAAGGGGUAGCCUUGGGUCAUGACACUAUCUCACAUCCACGUAGGACUUUUUGUGAGUUUGGGCUAUCUUAAGCCUAUCCCAAAUUACCUUCACCUUCUCCAUGGCUUGGUGAACCAAAUCGAGGCCGAAUAACCAAUUUUCACCAACCUUAAACCACCUAGUAGGAGACCUACACCUCCUACCAUACAAAGCCUCAAAUGGAGCCAUACCAAUUCUAGAGUGAUAUCUGUUGUUGUAGGAAAAUUCUAUGAGAGGCAAGUGGUCAACCCAACUACCACCAUAGUUAAAUAAGAUCUAACCAUAUCCUCCUAUGUCUGAAUGGUCUUAUCCUCUUGCCCAUCCGCCUGUGGGUGGAAAAUGAUACUAAGGCUCACAUUAGUCCCUAAACCUCUCUAAAAGGAAUGCCAAAAAUUAGAACAGAACUGAGUACCUCGAUCAGGUAUGAUGGAAACUGGAUAACCGUGCAACUUCACGAUCUCUUCAAUGAACAACUUGGCAUAAUCCUCAAAAGAGAAAUUUGUCCUUACUGGCAAGGAGUAAGCAGACUUAGACUUAGUCAUCCUAUCCACGAUGACCCAAAUAGAAUCAAACUAAUUCUGAGACUGUGGAAUACCAGUAAAAAAACCAUACUAGUUAUUUCUCAUUCCAUACAGGAAACUCAAUUUCUUGGAACAAUCCACCAGGCUUCAAGUGCACUAUCUUCACUUGCCGACACACCAUAUAUUAGCCAUAAAAUUGGCCACAUCCCACUUCAUAUUAUUCUACCAAUAAAUAUCCUUAAGAUCAUGAUAUAUUUUUUUCCAAUUAGGAUAAACUGUUUAACGCGAUUCGUGAGCCUCUCCAAAAUUUCUUCCUCGUAACCCAUUAACAUUGGGAACACAUAAUCUACCUUGGUAUUUUAAGAUACCAUCACCACCAAUCUCGAAAGCCAUCACUCUCUGGAGACCCACCUUCUCGUUGAUCUGCAUCAAGAUAGGAUCCAAAACCUGACUCCACACCAAGAGAUGACUUCACCACCUAUUGUACAAUCAUACCAUCAUCCUCAAAAUCCUAGAGAAAAACUCAAAGAUUAUCCAAACUGUGAAUGUCCUUCACCAAAUCUCGCUUCUCUUUGUCCACAUGAGAUAAGCUCCCCAUGACAACCUUCUAAGAGCAUCAACAACCACAUUAGCUUUACCUGGGUGAUAGUGGAGACUCAUGUCAUAGUCCUUUAGCAACUCAAGCCACCUCUUUUGCCUUAGAUUUAGCUCCUUUUAAGUGAACACAUAUUGCAAGCUUUUAUGAUCAGAACAAAUAUAUACAUAGACUCCAUACAAAUAGUGGCUUUAAGUCUUCAAAGCAAAGACUACAACCAAUAAUUUCAAAUCAUAAGUCAGAUAGUUCUUCUCAUGAACCUUUAACUACCUGAAAGCAUAUGCAUCCAGCAUUCCAUGCUACAUCAACAAGAAAUUGGGUCCCAUUCGGGACGCAUCACAAUAGACAACAAAACCAUCAGUACGCUCAGGUAGCAUCAAAAUCGAAGAUAAAGUUAACUUAUAUUUCAAAUUCUCAAAACUACUCUUACAAGAAUCAAACCAUAAUAACUUCACCUUCUUCUGAGUCAACUUAGUCAACGAGGUAGCAAUAGAAUAGAAACUUUCCACAAACCUUUUAUAAUAAUCGGCUAAAUCCAAAAAGCUCUGAAUGUCGAUUGGAGUCAUGGGUUUAGGACAUUUGUUAACCACCAAAACAUUUUACGAAUCCACCAUGAUCCCUUCACUAGAAACAACAUGACCAAAAUAGGUCACAAAAUUCAAACAAACCUCACACUUCGUAAAUUUUACAUACAAUCGCUGAUCUUUCAAGGUUUGAAACAUAAGGCAAAAGUGAUCAACAUGAUCCACAUCACUCUUAGAAUACACCAAAAUAUCAUCAAUAAACACAAUUUUGAACAAAUCUAAGAACUGAUAGAAUACUCAAUUCAUGAGGUCCAUAAAUAGUGUCGGGGCAUUAGCCAAACCAAAGGACAUCACCAAAACUCAAAAUGACCAAACCGAGUUCGAAAUGCAGUCUUAGGGAUAUCUAAUUCCCCAACCUUCAACUAAUGGUAACUGGACCAAAGAUCAAUCUUGGAAAAGCACUUAGCACUCGAUAGCUGAUCGAAGAGAUCAGCGAUCCUAAGAAACGAACACUUAUUUUUCACCGUCACCUUAUUCAAUUGGUGGUAAUCUAUACAUAUUUAAAGGGAACCAUCCUUCUUACACAUGAAGAGAAUUGGAGCACCCCAUGGAGAAACACUAGGGCCAAUGAAACCCCUAUCAGAAAGAUCUUUCACCUUCUUCUCGAGUUCUUUUAACUCAGCCAGAUCCAUUCUAUAGGAAGGGACAAAAAUAGGAUGAGUGUUAAGAAGAAGAUUAAUCCUAAAAUCAAUUUUCCUUUUGGGAGGAACACCAGGAAGAUCAUCAGCGAACACCUCAAGAAACUUACAUACCACAGGGAUAGUUUGCAAAGAAGGACCUUCAGACCUAGAAUCCUUAACAUGCACUAAGUGACGGAGACACCCCUUAGAAAUAAACUUUUGAGCUCUAAGAUACAAAACAAACCUUCCCUUAGGAACUAGGAAACUACUUUCCCAUUAAAUAACCAGCUCGUUAGGGAAGUCAAAACUGACCCUUCAGGUCAGACAAUCAAGCGAUGCAUAGAACGAAUGCAGCUAAUCCAUCCCUAUAGUCACAUCAAAGUCUAAUAUGUCCAACUCUAUCAGAUCCACCAAGGUCUCUCUACCACUGAAAGACAUCACACAACCCUUAUAGAACUUCGAGCCAUAAUGGAGUCACCCAUCAGGGUGGAUACAGAAAAGGGAUUUGUAAUACACUUAGGUUCAAAACCAAAAUGAAUAGUCAUAUAAGGGGUCACAUAAGAGAGGGUAGACCUGGGAUCAAGUAGAUAAUACGCAUCAUGAGACAAAGGUUUAAGAAUACUAGUAACAACAUCGGGGGAUGCCUCAGAGUCCUGGAGAGUGGUAAGGGAAUACAAACGCUUUCAAAGCGUGUUGGAGCAAGAAACAAAAGUAGCAUCUUUUGGUGCUGGAGCUGAUGAAGUAGCUACAAGGAUCUUAUUUUCCCCAAAAGCAAACCUGGAAGGACAAUCCCUUUAUAUAUAACCAAUUUGACCAUAUUUAAAGAACUUGUUCUUCCCCUCUCCAUAAACACCAUGAUGUACCUGACUACAAAAUCUAUAAGAGGGAUAUGAUGGACCUGAUUGAGCCCCACUUGCCUGAUAUUGGGAAACCUCCUUGGACCCACACUAUUUUGGAAAUGACGAUUACCUGAUGACUUUGGAUAAGGAGCACUAGUCAUAGUGUAGGAAUAAGAAUUUCCCCACUUCUUCUUAGACCAUUUUCCAUCGUCUGUACUAUUCUGCUGCCAACUUUUACCUUGAUUUAAAUACUGAAACUUCUUAUUUUGCCUUUCACUCAUCUCUACUUGCUUUAUUUUUUCAUCUUCCACGUAUUGCAUAUACACCACAAGUCUAGAGAUGUUCAUAUCCUUAUUCAACAAGGCAUCCUUGCUCUCCAAAGUCAACUCAUGGGAUAACCCAGAAGUAAACUUCCUUAUUCCAACUCUCAUGUUAGAGACCAAUUCUGGAUCAUAUCACGACAACUGAUGAAACUUGAAGGCAUACUCCUUUACUAUUAUCCUGCAUUACUUUAAGUUCACAAAGUUGUUAGCCUUCGCCUCCUUACACUCUUAAGAAAAGAAGUAAUCAAGAAAAUCACUAGAGAAGUCAUCCCACAAAGCGGACUCAGGGUCAUCACCCUAGACUGAUCCCAUUCCUCAAACCACUGAUACGCUAUAUCCUUCAACUGAUAGGUAGCGAACUCCACACCCUUUAUAUUAGCAGUAUGCAUAUUAUAGAAAAUAUUUUCCAUCUUAUCAAUAAAAAUUUAAGGAUAUUCCUCAACUAUAGGACCAGUGAAAGUCAGAGGGCCCAACCUCAUAAAUUGGCCAACUCAAGCAACCUCAAAGGAUAGAACAACAGAAGCAACAUGCUCAGUCUUAAAAGGCACCAAGUGGGUGAGAAACUAAAUCAGAUGAUGAAGCUUAGCAUUAUACACAUCAGCUUGAGGUUUCCAAGAAAGGAUAGGGCAAAUUGGUGGAACUCCGCUAGGGCAAUUCAAAAUAGUGACCCUAGAUCAGGUUUGAACUCCUUGAUCAAGACGAGCACCAUCUAUAUUAUCCUCAUAUGAGACAGAAAAGUUUCUAUUUACAUCAGAUCUUAUGGGAGGCUUGAUAUAAAAAGAAAACAUACACAGACUAGAAAAGAUUUCAAUACCUUAGACUCUAUUGCUCAAAAUAGAAUAACAAGAAAGGGAAUCAUUCUUAAUUACCUCAUAGCCUCUCUAUUACAAGUGUGGCAUCCUACAUACCCAUAAAAAAGACUUUAAUUGAUACAGCUUUAUGGACAUCCAAUAACUCCAAACCUAGGCUCUAAUACCAACUUUGUCAUAAGCUAAACUAAUGCCUACCCGUGAUGGGCUUUUCCAAUCCACCGUGGACCAAAUACCACACUCUGAACCUAACCAAACACCAUAUACAACCAAAUAAUGGUUGAAUUCCAAACAUAUAACCAGAUAGCAUGAGGUAAUUUUAAAGAAUAAAAGAUAUGUCAAUAAUCAAUAACUGACAACUGAACAAACACAUUCAACCAACAUCACCUAAGUCCACAGUAAUCCAACAAAGCCUCAAUGCAAAAUUAACCAAAAACCAAUCUUGGUUAGGACAUGUACCCGACUUCAACAAUGAUAAUGAUACUGUUAAGAAUAAUAAAAACUCUCAAUUCUAAUCUAUGAUAAAAACUAAUGAAAUCACUAAGUCUUCUGGAGAAUGGUAGCUCACCACUUCACCAUAACAAAGUGACAAAUCGAGCCGAUCCACAAAACUCUGCACAGAAAAAGUAGAGGUAUCUCCAUUGCCUGUAUCGCAUAGGGAUACAAUAUUCGGAGAUAGUUAAUAGGUUAAGCACUAGCAUGUAACUCAGGAAUAAGGAUAAAAUAAUAUUGUGAUCAAUAUUUUAAAAUCAUUCAAAUCUAAUGCACAUAAUUAAAUGCAUAUAUAUAUAUAUAUAUAUAUAUAUAUAUAUAUAUCAUAUGCCAAAAUAGGGAUAAGGAUUAACAUGCACUUUAAAAUUUUAGCUUGGAUUGUGUAGCUCAAUCAUCAUAACAUAAGAAGGCACCCAUGACCUAUAUAAGCCCAAUCCCCCCAAUAGGAAGGGCUUUAAUGUAUGUGGCUGCACAAACCAUAGGGUAUACAUAUGCACUAUGGGGGAGUUAAACCUCCCAACAUAUCUAGGUGAUGUAAACACCUAAUUAUAUUGUAAUACCCCGCACUUUUGGGCUAAAGUUUAACCAUCUGUUCAAUGUAUAUGGACCCUAAUACAAUGCUUUCUACUUAUAUAUAAGUGUGAAUGACACUUCUUUAAUGUGUAAAUAUCCUUGGAAUUGAAUAUAUACCAUAAGAAUCCCCAACCUCAAGAGUUAAGUUGAGCACUUUUCUAUUGUGAAUUUUUAGUUGAUGAUUAUGCAUGGGUCAACUUCCAAAUAUUGUUUAUCCUAGAAUAUAAAGAUUCAAGUGGCCUACUAUAUAUAAAUUUAAAGAUCUUUGAGUCUUUUUUCCAAUUCCUUUAACCGUUCAUCAAUUCGAGGCUAGAGUAAGAAAUUAUGAGUGUUUGAAUGAGGCACCAUCCAGGCUGUACGAUUGUGACACCCCAUAGUCGUAACACUCUUUUGAUGCUUCUAAAAUGAUCUUUAGAACCCUCUUAGUGAUGGUAAAUCAUGUAUUAAUGUUUUGGGGGGGGGGAGGGUUUUGGGGGUGUUUAAGGACCUCAAAACUAAGUAGACAUCAAAAACUAUAGCUUAGAUGAUGGCUAAGCGUCGCCUUACCAUCGCGAACACUCACUGGAAAAGGUUGUCCAUAAGGUUGGCACCACAAAACCUAAUGUUUUCCAUGGUAUUUGCACUGCAAACUUCAAUGUUUGCCAUAGACUUGUCACUACAAACUUCAAUGUUUAUCAUGGAGAUGGCGCUACAAACCCUAUGGCCAAGUGGUGUAGAAACUCUAUUUUUGAAUAUUUUAAGGGAAACAUGGUCUUUUGUCACCUAAUAACUAUACCUAAACAUUUUAACACGUAUUUAAGUCCCUAAAACAUUUUAACCCUAGCAAAUCAUUAGUUCAUCAUCUAGAAUACAAGAGGAGAAAAAUAACUUAGGGUUUGGGCAAUCAAGCUUAAAGGUUCAAUCUUUUCACAAUUUCUUCAUCAUUAAGGUACGUGGGGCUUUCCUAAACUACAUGGCAUGGUGAAAUUAUUUUUAUAAUAUUUUAUCAUUGAAAAAUCAUGUAUUUAUGAAGGGUUCUGAAUUACAUUAAAAAACAUGCAUUGUGAACUCUUUCAAUGAGAUAACAUUUUGGUCAUAAGGCCUUCCCCCAAAUUUUAUUUGUACUCGUAUCUAUAUAUGUAUGCAUUUUGAAUUUAAAUUUUGAAUCGAGAGCAUGAAAAUUUAUAAUCCCUCUCUUGUUAUAAAGCCUCUUAUUUUCAUAUGUCAUGAAUUGUUUAAUUACAUAUUGAGAAGUAUGAUACAAAUUUCUUUAUUUACAUUUAAGACUUGGCUUUGGUUAUGAACUGGAGAGAGGGUGUAUCUUGUUCAUAUAAAUGAAAAGUGAUGAUUUAAAGAGUUGCAUGCCUUACUACAAAGUAAUAGACCACUACAUAUUUUUUUAAUAAUUAAAAGAGAGAAUCUAUGCAAAAGUUUCAUGUAAUUCGACAUACAAAUCCUAUUGUACUAUUUAAAUGACUUGGUGGUCUAAACAUUUUUUAAAAUAAAAGAGGCAUAACACGAUAAAGUAUGGCUUAUAGAUAUGACUUACAAGUCUUGGUAUGACAAUACCAAUAAGAUGAAUGCCAUAAUAGAGUAAGAUUUUCAGAUUUUGAUUUCAAGGAAUGUAUGUCUUAAAUAGUUAAAAAUGGGCUUAAAGAGAGUUAGGUAGUUACUCAAAGAAGGAAUUUAUGUUUAAGGGCUCAUUGUUGGAAAUUAUGUUUUCCUGAUACGGGUUUAUUAUAUCCCCAAGAGGGACCAUACACUGUCCUAGUGCCCCUUGGCAUAUUAGAGAUAGGGAGUCCAACCUUUGUGGCAAACUUAGGCUGGGGUUUAGCUACCAAGCUAACGGCGGAUUCCAUAUAGCCCAUGGGAUUAUAGAAUUGUAGUGUGUACCACCUAGCUUAGAAGUAAGAUAAAGAGUGAGUCAUGGUUUCAAAGAACUGUUUUAAAGUCUUUUAAGUAUGCCCAAGAAUUUUCCUAUAUCGUAUGUAAACUGUUUUAUGAAUUUCUCUCACUUAUGUUGUAUGACAGUACAAUAUUUUAGAUUGCUCUACGUACCAUUACAUCUGUAUUGAUCCUUUAUAUUUCAGGUUUUGAGGCCCAUUCUAGUAGUUCUGCUAACCAGUAGAUUAUUGUCGGACAUUCAGAGUUGGUGAAACUUUCUUACUUUGAAAGGCUUCUUGUUUACUUGUGUUGAUCUUAUUUGGUUUUGGUUUACAGUCCGACCCGGGGCCUUUCCCCAGUCUUCAAACAGAUGUUGUUUUUUUCAAUUAGUAGAGAUUUUGCAGAUGGGUGUUACAUGGAUUUUAGUCUUAUUGAACUUAUGCCGUGUUGUUUUUUUGAUAUAAUCAGAUGACCAUAUUUCCAUUUUUUCCACAUUUUAUAAUUAUGAAUUGUGCAUAUGAUUGCCAGUUAGAAGGGAUCUCGGGCCUUCAUGGUUUGGGAUGCCCAUCACGGUGAGGGACUUGGUUUGGGUCAUGACAAACUUGGUAUCAGAUUAUAGUUCAUGGUCCCAGGGUAUCUACGAAGUUGUGUCUAGUAAAGUCUUUCUUAUGAGUGUGUUGUGCACCAUAUUUAUAAUUAGGAGGCUACCAGGCAUUUAGAAGUUAUUUGUUAUUCUUUCAUACUCUAGUUCGUGCUAUAGUGUCAUCCAUAAGAAAGUUAUCCAAAUUCCUUCAUUGUUCAAAUCUCAUGGGUCAUGCCUUAUUAUUGAGGCAAUACAAGUCUAAGAGUCUAGCUCUCUCUGCGGUUCUCUUUGAUUGAGUUAUCCAUAAAGUUAUGAGAUAGCACAAGGACUUGAGAGGAGUUCAUUAGUGAUUCAAGGUGUAUUGAUUCGAGUGUAUACCUUUAUCCUGAUAAAAUCAUGCUUUUUAGCCUGAGGUUUGAACUGUAUUCAGGCCUCUUUCAAAAUUCAUAUUGCAGAUGUCAUGCAUAAGGGUAAUAAUGUGUAGCAGAAUGUUGGAACUGUAUUUCCACCUGAGUAGUAGUAUAUAUUAAAGUGUCAUAACCCAUUGGUAGUUAGAUGGUCUAGAAGUUGGUGAAAUGAUGUCACAAGGUUAGCAGUUAGAGUGAGGGUGACUUUUGCAUAAAUAAGUAGUUUUAGUUGUAUAACCUUUGAUUGAGGGGUGGUUUUUCCUUUUAUGGUAGUUGUCUAAUGUUAUAUAAAGAUUUAUAGAUUGUAUGGUAGUUGUGAAGGAAGUUCUUGGCUAUGAUUAUUAUUGAUUCAAAUUUGGGAAGGGGCCUAGAGUGGAUAAUGGUGGCUAUAGAAAUCAGUUAUGGUUGUGAAUGGAAAGAGGUAGACUAGUCAAUAUAUUAUGGGUAGAGACUCAUUGAUAUUUAUGGAAUUUGGUGAUAGUGAAAAUGUAUGCAUGGGUAAAUAAACUUAAUGUGAGAAGGUAUGUAGUGGAUUUUUAGGGGUAGUUGUAAUGUCAUGAAGAGGAUGUGAUUGUAGGUAGUAGUUAAGUGAAAUUUCCCCAACUUGAUGGACCAGUAUAGUAUGUGGCAUGCUUUAUCGAUGUACAUGAUUGAUUGUAGACUAUAGGCUUGAACAUUAGAUGUGGAGUGUAGUGGUGGAAAUAGUAGCUUAAGAUUGUUAAUGCAUGUUUUGUAGGAAGAAAAUAGUGGGCCUGAUGCAAAUUUUUUGAAAUAGCUUAGGUUGGUAACUUGUAAAAUAAGGAAUGAGAAUGGGUGUGCUCAUGAAACUAUGAGUUUUAGGUUGA
rnacentral:lncRNA from 1 species